rnacentral:rRNA from 1 species
AGAGUUUGAUCCUGGCUCAGGAUGAACGCUGACAGAAUGCUUAACACAUGCAAGUCGACUCGAGUCUUCGGACUUGGGUGGCGGACGGGUGAGUAACGCGUAAAGAACUUGCCUCAUAGUCUGGGACAACAUUUGGAAACGGAUGCUAAUACCGGAUAUUAUGCUUUCUUCGCAUGGAGGAAGUAUGAAAGCUAUAUGCGCUAUGAGAGAGCUUUGCGUCCCAUUAGCUAGUUGGUGAGGUAACGGCCCACCAAGGCGAUGAUGGGUAGCCGGCCUGAGAGGGUGAACGGCCACAAGGGGACUGAGACACGGCCCUUACUCCUACGGGAGGCAGCAGUGGGGAAUAUUGGACAAUGGACCAAAAGUCUGAUCCAGCAAUUCUGUGUGCACGAUGACGUUUUUCGGAAUGUAAAGUGCUUUCAGUCGGGAAGAAGCAAGUGACGGUACCGACAGAAGAAGCGACGGCUAAAUACGUGCCAGCAGCCGCGGUAAUACGUAUGUCGCAAGCGUUAUCCGGAUUUAUUGGGCGUAAAGCGCGUCUAGGCGGCAAGGAAAGUCUGAUGUGAAAAUGCGGGGCUCAACUCCGUAUUGCGUUGGAAACUGCCUUACUAGAGUACUGGAGAGGUAGGCGGAACUACAAGUGUAGAGGUGAAAUUCGUAGAUAUUUGUAGGAAUGCCGAUGGGGAAGCCAGCCUACUGGACAGAUACUGACGCUAAAGCGCGAAAGCGUGGGUAGCAAACAGGAUUAGAUACCCUGGUAGUCCACGCUGUAAACGAUGAUUACUAGGUGUUGGGGGUCAAACCUCAGCGCCCAAGCUAACGCGAUAAGUAAUCCGCCUGGGGAGUACGUACGCAAGUAUGAAACUCAAAGGAAUUGACGGGGACCCGCACAAGCGGUGGAGCAUGUGGUUUA